rnacentral:rRNA from 1 species
CAAGCUGGCGGCGGCUUACACAUGCAGUCGAUCGAGACCUUCGGGUCUAGCGGCGGACAGGUGAGUAACGCGUGGGAACGUGCCCUUCUCUACGGAAUAGCCCCGGGAAACUGGGAGUAAUACCGUAUACGCCCUUUGGGGGAAAGAUUUAUCGGAGAAGGAUCGGCCCGCGUUGGAUUAGGUAGUUGGUGAGGUAACGGCUCACCAAGCCGACGAUCCAUAGCUGGUUUGAGAGGAUGAUCAGCCACACUGGGACUGAGACACGGCCCAGACUCCUACGGGAGGCAGCAGUGGGGAAUCUUAGACAAUGGGGGCAACCCUGAUCUAGCCAUGCCGCGUGAGUGAUGAAGGCCUUAGGGUUGUAAAGCUCUUUCAGCUGGGAAGAUAAUGACGGUACCAGCAGAAGAAGCCCCGGCUAACUCCGUGCCAGCAGCCGCGGUAAU